AUCAUAUAUAAUGAGUCUACUAUGGUAGAAGGAUGGCUAUACUGGAAACUACGGGCUGAGCUGAUAACGACUAGAC
rnacentral:tRNA from 1 species